rnacentral:misc_RNA from 1 species
GAUGAAGAACGCAGCGAAAUGCGAUAAGUAAUGUGAAUUGCAGAAUUCAGUGAAUCAUCGAAUCUUUGAACGCACAUUGCGCCCGCUAGUAUUCUGGCGGGCAUGCCUGUCCGAGCGUCAUUUCAACCCUCAAGCCCCCGGGCUUGGUGUUGGGGAUCGGCGAGCCUCCGCGCCCGCCGUCCCCUAAAUCUAGUGGCGGUCUCGCUGUAGCUUCCUCUGCGUAGUAGCACACCUCGCACUGGGAAACAGCGCUGCCACGCCGUUAAACCCCCAACUUCUGAACGUUUGACCUCGGAUCAGGUAGGAAUACCCGCUGAACUUAAGCAUAUCAAUAAGCGGAGGA